rnacentral:rRNA from 1 species
CAGAGGUCCCAAGCGUUGUUCGGAUUUACUGGGCGUAAAGGGAGCGUAGGUGGCACUCUAAGUCUGAUGUGAAAGCUCUGAGCUUAACUCAGAAAUGGCAUUAGAUACUAGUUUGCUUGAGGAUUGGAGGGGAGAUUGGAAUACUUGGUGUAGCAGUGAAAUGCGUAGAUAUCAAGUGGAACACCAGUGGCGAAGGCGAAUCUCUGGACAAUUCCUGACACUGAUGCUCGAAAGCUAGGGGAGCAAACGGGAUUAGAUACCCCGGUAGUCCUAGCUGUAAACGGUGCACGCUUGCUGUAGGUGGAAUCGACCCCGCCUGUAGCGAAGCUAACGCGUUAAGCGUGCCGCCUGGGAAGUACGGUCGCAAGAUUA